rnacentral:rRNA from 1 species
AUUGAACGCUGGCGGCAGGCUUAACACAUGCAAGUCGAGCGGGGUGAUGGUGCUUGCACUAUCACUUAGCGGCGGACGGGUGAGUAAUGCUUAGGAAUCUGCCUAUUAGUGGGGGACAACAUCUCGAAAGGGAUGCUAAUACCGCAUACGUCCUACGGGAGAAAGCAGGGGAUCACUUGUGACCUUGCGCUAAUAGAUGAGCCUAAGUCGGAUUAGCUAGUUGGUGGGGUAAAGGCCUACCAAGGCGACGAUCUGUAGCGGGUCUGAGAGGAUGAUCCGCCAGACUGGGAGUGAGACACGGCCCAGACUCCUACGGGAGGCAGCAGUGGGGAAUAUUGGACAAUGGGGGGGACCCUGAUCCAGCCAUGCCGCGUGUGUGAAGAAGGCCUUAUGGUUGUAAAGCACUUUAAGCGAGGAGUAGGCUCUUUUGGUUAAUACCCAAGAUGAGUGGACGUUACUCGCAGAAUAAGCACCGGCUAACUCUGUGCCAGCCGCCGCGGUAA